rnacentral:rRNA from 1 species
GUAGGGAAUUUUCGGCAAUGGGGGAAACCCUGACCGAGCAACGCCGCGUGAGUGAUGAAAGUCUUCGGAUUGUAAAGCUCUGUUAUAAGGGAAGAACGUCCCGGAUAGUCUCCGGGAGUGACGGUACCUUAUCAGAAAGCUACGGCUAACUACGUGCCAGCAGCCGCGGUAAUACGUAGGUAGCGAGCGUUAUCCGGAAUUAUUGGGCGUAAAGGGUGCGUAGGCGGCUUGUUAAGUUUAAGGUGAAAGCGUGGGGCUCAACCCCAUAAAGCCGUAGAUACUGACGAGCUAGAGUACUGGAGAGGGUAGUGGAAUUCCAUGUGUAGCGGUAAAAUGCGUAGAUAUAUGGAGGAACACCGGUGGCGAAGGCGGCUACCUAGACAGAGACUGACGCUGAUGCACGAAAGCGUGGGGAGCAAAUAGGAUUAGAAACCCCUGUAGUCC